GAACAAGAGAACAAAGAGACCGUGCUCUGCAGAGAAAUAUGUUGGAAGAUAUGAAGAGAUACAACACAAUCUACUGAUUCAGACAUCAACUUUUAAGGGUUUGACUUCCUAGGAACUGAGUAAUAUGAAGUAACAUACUAAUGUAUCUUUCUGCUAGUAAUGCAAUAUUUCAGAAGGACGAAAAUUAAAACAUCUUCAAAGGAGUGAAGAGCCUGUGAAAUGGCAGUGAUCAGAACAGGCAGCUUAUACCUUGUUCCAUGCUGCUGAAGUCAUCUCUCUCCUUCCAGUGUGACAGGGGCGUGUUUAAGGUACAGGGGAUGUACCAGGGCAAGAGUGCCCGAGGGAGCAUGCGCCGACAUAGACAACCUUGUUGGUCAAAGAAGUCACAUGG